AUUAAUGUCGAAUUCGAAUGACAGUUGAAAGGGUUAUGUUUAUUGUGAGAAUUCCGUGAAAUAAAUCUUCUUUGCGCUAAACGGGGCGUAAUUUGUCGUUUAGUCCACUAUUUGGAAAUGGAAGUUGGGCAACAUAAGGAAAAUCUAACCAAAUUGUCGCUGGAAGAACUGGAAGAAUUGUACAUAAGGCAGACAAAUAUACUUAAAAACAAGUACAAGGGGACUUGUGAAGCAGUUACCUGAUCAGGGUAAGCAGUUGCAAGACAAACUUAAUAAAGUUGAAAAAGAGCUAAAGUUGCGUCGAGAUUUGAAGGACCUUGAAGGGAAUCUGAAAACGUUGUCUAUAAGUAGUGAGAAGUCUGAAGUUUUAAAGGAAAAACAUAUUCAGUAUGUGUGUAAUAUAGAAAAAUCGCCUGAGAAAGAACGCUAUAAACCGUUUUCCACUCUUGUACAUAAGGAUGAGAAAAAGGGUGAUAAACCCACACAGUUGAUACCUUUAGUUGAGUCAAUAACGCUGUUAGCAGAACAAGCCACAAAGUUACCUAUUGGACUAAGCAAAAAAGUCAUUGAAGGGACACCACUGAAAGAAGAACCUGAAGCAUGUAGUGAUAGUGAGGAAAAUCAGGAACUGAGUGAGUCUGAAUGUGAAGAACUGGAAAAAACCUGAGUGUGAUUGAAAUUUUCAACAAAACUUUAUUUAAAUAAAUUAACAAUUUUUAACA